CUGGGAUUACAGGCGUGAGCCACCGCGCCCUGCCGGAAUGAAGAUAUUUCUGUUAGUGCGAUUUUUGCGCCAAUCCCUUUGCUCUUUCAAAUAAGCAUUACCGUACCCAUUUUAGCGGUGAGGCAACUGAAGCCCAGAGAGGUUAAAUAACUUGCCCAAAGCCUCACAGCAAAGUUGAGGAAGUAAAACUGGGCCUGGAAUCCACUCGUCUGAUCCCCUGGCACAUGACGCAAGGCUUGACCUUAGAGGGACUCGUUUCCAGACAGAGCUCUGGCAAAGGAGUGUCUUGGGCAGCUUAGGAGUAGAAGAGGAAAGGUGAAUGGAAACCAGGCCUUGGGUUAUGAGCUGCGCAGGAUUUUCCAGCAUCUCAGAUGCAGGCGUUUAGAGAAAGAGAUAUAAUGGAGCAGGCCCUACUCAGAGCCACGAAAAGGAAUGAGGACAGUUGGCUCUAACUCAAAACAAAAAUAGGGUAAACCCAAUCAGUCAAGCGCAGCAACCUGCUCCGUGGCGAUCUGUGACUCAUCAGAAGCUGAGGCUCUCACCAGGACUUUCUAAUGAGCUUCGCUGUUGGCUACGACCGCGGUCACUUCACUUCAGCCCUACUCCUGGCCUGGGGAAAUGGGCAGGCCCCCUAGUAGCUCGGGGUGGGGAGACGGGUGGAGAGGAAGGAGGGGCGAAAAGGGAAGGCGCGAAAUCUACAAAUGUUUAAGCCAGCUGGAACUCCGAUGCCUCUUUGCCUUUUAGGGAAAUUGACUCGACUCGGAACUCGAGGACCUUUCACAAGAGACCACUGGGUUAGGGGGCAGAGCUGGUAAUAGAAUCCAGCGCUCCGAACCCUGAAUCAUGUCCUCUUUUUGCUGCUGAGGCUCAGGCCACAGCACCCCAAAUUAUGACUGUAGAAUACCAAAAUAUGCUAUCCCAAAAUACACUUGUUUGGCACAUUUCAAGCUGGUUAUUCUGAGAAACUGCAGACACGGGAGUAGCUCUGAAAAGCUGUCCUUUUGUAAAGCAAAUUUACAUCUAUAAAGGAAGUCCACAUAGUAAAAGUAUCUGUGUCAGGAAGGCAGCUGCUCAGAGAACUUUUAUUACAUGAGAGACUUUACAUAACAAGGCAACUUUUUUUUUUUUUUUUUUUUUUUUUUUUGAGGCAGAGUCUCGCUCAGUCGCCCAGGCUGGAGUGCAUUGGCAUGAUCCCGGCUCACUGCAACCUCCGCCCCCCGGGUUCAAGCGAUUCUCCGGCCUCAGCCUCUGAAGUAGCCGGGAUUACAGGCGCGCGCCACCGCGC
rnacentral:lncRNA from 1 species